rnacentral:rRNA from 1 species
GACGAACGCUGGCGGCGUGCCUAAUACAUGCAAGUAGAACGCUGAAGCGAGGAGCUUGCUCUUCUUGGAUGAGUUGCGAACGGGUGAGUAACGCGUAGGUAACCUGCCUUGUAGCGGGGGAUAACUAUUGGAAACGAUAGCUAAUACCGCAUAACAAUGGAUGCCACAUGUCAUUUAUUUGAAAGGGGCAAUUGCUCCACUACAAGAUGGACCUGCGUUGUAUUAGCUAGUAGGUGAGGUAAUGGCUCACCUAGGCGACGAUACAUAGCCGACCUGAGAGGGUGAUCGGCCAAACUGGGACUUAGACACGGGCCAGACUCCUACGGGAGGCAGCAGUAGGGAAUCUUCGGCAAUGGGGGCAACCCUGAACGAGCAAAGCCGCGGGAGUGAAGAAGGGUUUCGGAUCGUAAAGCUCUGUUGUAAGUCAAGAACGGGUGUGAGAGUGGAAAGUUCACACUGUGACGGUAGCUGACCAGAAAGGGACGGCUAACUACGUG